GGCUGGAACCUCUCGGGGUUACAGCCUUGCUGAAUUAUUCACCCUUGUCUUUUGCGUACUUCUUGUUUCCUUGGUGGGUUCGCCCACCACUAGGACAAACAUAAACCUUUUGUAAUUGCAAUCAGCGUCAGUAACAAAUUAAUAAUUACAACUUUCAACAACGGAUCUCUUGGUUCUGGCAUCGAUGAAGAACGCAGCGAAAUGCGAUAAGUAGUGUGAAUUGCAGAAUUCAGUGAAUCAUCGAAUCUUUGAACGCACAUUGCGCCCUUUGGUAUUCCAAAGGGCAUGCCUGUUCGAGCGUCAUUUGUACCCUCAAGCUUUGCUUGGUGUUGGGCGUCUUGUCUCUAGCUUUGCUGGAGACUCGCCUUAAAGUAAUUGGCAGCCGGCCUACUGGUUUCGGAGCGCAGCACAAGUCGCACUCUCUAUCAGCAAAGGUCUAGCAUCCAUUAAGCCUUUUUUUCAACUUUUGACCUCGGAUCAGGUAGGGAUACCCGCUGAACUUAAGCAUAUCAAUAAGCGGAGGAA
rnacentral:rRNA from 2 species